UGUUACCUAACAAGACCUGUAAUUAAACCUUAAAAGGCCAUUUCAUUCCUCUACCAAACCAACUGCUUCAGAAGUUAAGCCACAUGUUCCCAGCAGCUGUGAGUAGCAUUGCUCCCUGGGGGUCACAGAUCUCAGAAGCUCUUACCAGAAGUUCUUCAGCAGCUCCUCCUGAGAGUCUCAACAGGGUCUCAGAAACAACCUCUAAUGAGUGGACUUUUCUACAAGAGUUCAAAGGAGGAAACAGAAACCACCAUAAGCAUUCUUAAACAUGAGGAAAUUUCAUACAGGAAACUUUGUGCUUACAAGAGCAUUGCCAAGACUGAAGCAACAGUUUCUAAGCUGAGUCUCCUGGAAUAAUUCCUGGACCUGUACAGAACUGACUUACUAAAAGAGCACUACCUCUGAGGUCACAGCUGGGAAUAUGCCAGAAACAAGGUUCUCUGCCUUUGCCAAUACAGGCCAACACUCAGGAGGCUGCAAAAUGUGCUCGUAUUGCCUCAGCCUGCUACACCAGGCCAAGGUGUUAUACUCUUUGCUUGUCAGCAUCUAGGAAGCUGGAGUUGGGACCCUUCAGAAUCACUGUUGGCAAUCAUCAUAUCUCCUGAGUGUUGUUUGACAUUAGAGCUCAAAACCACAGGAA